rnacentral:rRNA from 1 species
CCAAGUAGGCGGUUGUGGCCCGCGGGAGAGGCAGGGCGGGGGGCCAACAGGGCUUCGGGGGCGAGAGAGGGCGGUGGAGGCGGCGAGGGGGGUAGGUGCGGCGGGUGCGGAGAGGGCGGGUGUGCGACGGUUCGGAAGCGUAGAGGCGUUCCGUAUAUGGAAGGCACGAGCGAGCGAGCGAACGAAAGGGAAGGAAGAACAAGGGUUAAAGCGGUCGGCGCUGCGAGAAAGCGGUAAGGUAACCUAGAGCCAGUCGGCCGGCCUACGAGUCCUAAUUAUCUCCACCGUAACUUAUAAGACAAUAGAUUUGAAACAUGGUUUAUUUAUCCAGGUUGUUCUGGAAACUACGGGAAAAGAUGAGGUAAAAUGUUACAGGAAUAUAAGAAAAACGACACCAUUGAAGGUCGUUGAUUCCUUGAGUUAUCCUGUGUAAACAUCAUAGUCUAAAGAGUUCAUAGUGUCGUCUUAUUCGAGACUUUUACAUGAAGUCUUGUCUUCUGUAUUUUGAUCUGGAAAAUCACGUUGUCAUGAUCGCUCUUUACGUCCUUUUCCUUCAUUCGUUAAGAAGUCGUUACUGGCGGUAGAUGUGCCACCUAGUCAACUUAGUAGCUAACUUCACAAGUUCGUCAGACUAGACGUCGUGGACUUUAGUGAGGUCACGAUGCUAUAAGUCCUUUUCCAAAGACCUCCGUUCUGGCUGACGGGACGUUGAUAGGAACAGAAACUAUAACUUUGAUGACCGAAGAGUGCGGCACCACUAUCUUAAUAACUCAAACGACGUGCACUAGAAUACCCACCUUUCUUAUCGUGAAAAGUCUGGGAAUAUUUAGGACUCUCUCUCCAUUUUUUGCGUCGACAAGUACCAUAGUCGUGGUUCUACCAAACGUCAAGACUAUAGGGUUCUAAACCCCUCAAAUAGGGGUAAGAUGAUGUUAUGCAAACCUCAGCAGUUCAACGACCAUUUGGUCAAUACACCCAACGAGUAUUGCCCUUUUGGAAACUACACGGGAAAGAGUAGAAACUCAAGGUUGCAACGUUUGUUCUCUACGGACGACUGACCGACAAACACCUGUGCGAAGGAUAACGUUCUGUCAAUCAACUAAGGCUACCCCUUUUUUAGUCGAGGCGCAGCUACUUCUGUGACCAUCUCGCGAUGUUCUAGGGUCAGCUACCGUUUCGCGUGGCACGUUACGUACUACACUGACGGGACACAAUACAUGAGGUCUUCAACUGCAAGCUCAACUUUGAUUGGCAAGGCGUCGAGGAACUCUUCAGCAAGGCCCAGAGACUAUAGUGCUGCUGUGGGGGAUUUUUUACUGACGAUUGUGGGAGUGGACUUCUUAUAGAUCUUUGACACCUAAUAAAGUAACCGUAACAUAAUGUCUCGGACAAUAAACGUCUGGAAUCGAGACUAAAGGACGACAAAGUUGUUGUCUUGUUGUUAUGGAAUGAAUAACAAUGUAACUAUAAAACCAGUCAUCAAGUCACGAGUUAUAAUGACUAUGAACGACCGGGACAUGUGGUAGACUUGGUAAUAUACGUGCUACGAUUUAAGUCUCGACGCCGUAUCUAAGACACACCACAGGUUGCCACUGGCUUACGUCACGAGAAAUGACAAGGAAGUCCUUGCGAGAUUUGCUUUACUUCGAUGACAUGAAAAAUCGUCAUUGACCCUCUUUUCAGCCAAGAUGGGAACAACUCAACUCGUACGCGACGU